GAUGAACGCUGGCGGCGUGCCUAAUACAUGCAAGUCGAGCGAACGGACGAGAAGCUUGCUUUUCUGAUGUUAGCGGCGGACGGGUGAGUAACACGUGGAUAACCUACCUAUAAGACUGGGAUAACUUCGGGAAACCGGAGCUAAUACCGGAUAAUAUUUUGAACCGCAUGGUUCAAAAGUGAAAGACGGUCUUGCUGUCACUUAUAGAUGGAUCCGCGCUGCAUUAGCGAGUUGGUAAGGUAACGGCUUACCAAGGCAACGAUGCAUAGCCGACCUGAGAGGGUGAUCGGCCACACUGGAACUGAGACACGGUCCAGACUCCUACGGGAGGCAGCAGUAGGGAAUCUUCCGCAAUGGGCGAAAGCCUGACGGAGCAACGCCGCGUGAGUGAUGAAGGUCUUCGGAUCGUAAAACUCUGUUAUUAGGGAAGAACAUAUGUGUAAGUAACUGUGCACAUCUUGACGGUACCUAAUCAGAAAGCCACGGCUAACUACGUG
rnacentral:rRNA from 1 species